UGCAAAUUUAGAGGCUGAUGGUGGAUGCCUCGGGACCGCAAGUCGAUGAAGGACGUGGCGUGCCUGCGAUAAGCUUCGGGGAGGUGGCUAGCAACCUAUGAUCCGGAGAUAUCCCAAUGGGGAAACCCGCUUUGGUAAACCCAAAGCAUCUCUCUGCCGUGGUAGCAGGGAGAGGAGAUACCCGCUGAAUUGAAACAUCUUAGUAGGCGGAGGAAAAUAAAACAAAUGUGAUUCCCUAAGUAGCGGCGAGCGAAAUGGGAAUAGCCCAAACUCUAUCUUUUGAUAGGGGGUUGUGGGAUUAUUACGUCCGGAGCUUGCUCCGGGGAGAGUUAAAUCUUAAUCGUUAGUUGAAGGACCCUGGAAAGGGCAACCAUAGAGGGUAAAAGUCCCGUAAAUUAAAACGAUUUGGAACUCUCGGUAAUUUUCCCGAGUACCACUGGAAACGAUAGCCCAGUGGGAAGCAAGCAGAACUAUCUGUUAAGGCUAAAUACUAGGCGGUCACCGAUAGCGAACCAGUACCGUGAGGGAAAGGUGAAAAGUAGCCCGGUAAGGGCGGUGAAAUAGAACCUGAAACCAUCAGCUUACAAGGAGUCGGAGCCCCUUUUAGGGGUGACGGCGUGCCUUUUGCAGAAUGAGCCAACGAGUCGCCUGUUCCGGUUUUGCUUAAGCUCUUCUGGAGUGAAAGCUUAGGGGAACCGAGUACUAAAUGUGCGUCUUCUCUUUUGAGAAUGAUCGGUGCAGGCGGACCCGAAACCAAGCGAUCUUGCCAUGGCCAGGGUGAACCCCGUAGAAAUACGGGAGGAGGCCCGAACCUUUAAGUCGUGCAAUACUUUAGGAUGAGCUGUGGUAAGCAGUGAAAAGCUAAUCGAGCUUGGUAAUAGCUGGUUCUCUCCGAAAUAGCUUUAGGGCUAGCGUCCUUGCAAGGCUUCCGGGGGUAGAGCGACUGGAUUGAAUUUCGCGGGAUUUAUCCCAGAUCUUCCAACCAAACUCCGAAUACCGGAAGUAAAUCAAGGGCAGUCAGACUGUGGGGGAUAAGCUCCAUGGUCAAAAGGGAAACAGCCCAGACCCCAAGAUAAGGCCCCUAAAUCCGGAUUAAGUGUAAGUAAGGAAGUGGAUUUCCUCUGAUAGUCAGGAGGUUAGCUUAGAAGCAGCUAUCCUUUAAAAAGUGCGUAACAGCUUACUGAUUAAGGGAGUCCGCACCGUAAAUUUCCGGGACUAAAUCCGGUGCCGAAGCUGGGGAUGCUGUUUGAGAAAUCUUACAGCGUGGUAGGAGAGCGUUCCUCGUUCGUUGAAGCGGAAUCCGUGAGGAUCCGUGGAGAGCGGGGAAGUGAGAAUGUUGGCAUGAGUAACCGCAAUUCCGGUGAAAGCCCGGAACGCCGAAAGCCCAAGGUUUCCUUGGCAAUGACAAUCAGCCAAGGGUUAGGCGGCCCUAAGGAGUAGCCGAAAGGUGAAUCCGAUGGACAGCCGGUUAAUAUUCCGGCCCUUCGUACGGUUUUUUCUUUGAAAGACGAAGGUUAGUAACUUGCGCGGAUUAUCGGAUUUCCGUCCUUGCUCUAAGGUAACAAGGAGUGAGGGGAAGCUUCCUUUAAGAAGUGAACGCAAGCGAGCAACCUUCCGGGAAAAUUUCUUAGAAAGCUAAGCCGUGCGAAUCCGUACCGCAAACCGACACAGGUGGGCGGGUGUAAGAGCACCAAGGCGAACGGGUGAAACCUCGUUAAGGAACUCGGCAAACAAGCGACCGUAACUUCGGGAUAAGGUCUGCCACGCAUUGCGUGGCCGCAGCGAAAGUUCCCCUGGCGACUGUUUAUCAAAAACACAGGUCCCUGCUUAACUCGUAAGAGGAUGCAUAGGGGCUGAGGCCUGACCAGUGCUGGAACGUUAACUCCGCCGGUCCUUUUGGGCUGAGCGGGUGAAGCGCCAGUAAACGUCGGCGGUAACUAUAACCGUCUUAAAGUAGCGUAAUCCCUUGCCGGGUAAGUUCCGGCCCGCACGAAAGGCUUCACGACUGGGGGGCUGUCUCAACGAGGCGCCCGGUGAAAAUGCAAUACCGGUAAAGAUGCCGGUUACCUGUGGAAAGACGAAAAGACCCCGGGAGCUUUACUGUAUCCAGUUAUUGGGUCUUGAAUUUAGAUGCAGAGCGUAGGUGGGAGACUUUGAAACUCUACUUCCGGGUAGAGUGGAGUCGUCAAUGGAACACCACCCUUCUAAGUUCCUGAUUCUAACUUCCGUUAACCUCGGAAGAACAGUGACUGGUGGUCAGUUUGAGUGGGGCGCUCUUCUCCUAAAGAGUAACGGAGAAGCCCAAAGGUCAGCUAGCUCCGGAUGGAAAUCGGAGUGAUAGGGUAAAACCAUAAGCUGGCUUAACUGCAAGGCGUAUAUGCCGCGCAGGUACGAAAGUAGGGUUUAGUGAACCGACGUGUCCUAAUAGGACGCGCGGAGACAUCAACUAAAAGUUACCCCGGGGAUAACAGGCUGGUAGGGCCCGCGAGUCCGUAUCAACGGCCCUGUUCGGCACCUCGAUGUCGGCUCAUCACAUCCUGGGGGUGUAGCAACUCCCAAGGGUUUGGCUGUUCGCCAAUUAAAGUGGUACGUGAGCUGGGUUCAGACCGUCGUGAGACAGGUCGGUCUCUAUCUUCCAUAGGCGUCGAGUCUUGAGGAGAUUUGUCCCUAGUACGAGAGGACCGGGAUGAACUAACCUCUGGUGUACCAGCUGUCCUGCCAAGGGCACUGCUGGAUAGCUAAGUUGGGAAGGGAUAAGCGCUGAAGGCAUCUAAGCGCGAAGCCUACUCCAAGAUUAGGACUCAUAGGUCCCUCAAAGAUGAUGAGGUUGAUAGGCUGCAGGUGCAAGUGUCGCAAGGCAUUUAGCCGAGCAGUACUAAUUAACCAAUUGCAUGUUU
rnacentral:rRNA from 1 species